AGUGAACGCUGGCGGUAGGCCUAACACAUGCAAGUCGAACGGCAGCACAGUAAGAGCUUGCUCUUAUGGGUGGCGAGUGGCGGACGGGUGAGGAAUACAUCGGAAUCUACUUUUUCGUGGGGGAUAACGUAGGGAAACUUACGCUAAUACCGCAUACGACCUACGGGUGAAAGCAGGGGAUCUUCGGACCUUGCGCGAUUGAAUGAGCCGAUGUCGGAUUAGCUAGUUGGCAGGGUAAAGGCCCACCAAGGCGACGAUCCGUAGCUGGUCUGAGAGGAUGAUCAGCCACACUGGAACUGAGACACGGUCCAGACUCCUACGGGAGGCAGCAGUGGGGAAUAUUGGACAAUGGGCGCAAGCCUGAUCCAGCCAUACCGCGUGGGUGAAGAAGGCCUUCGGGUUGUAAAGCCCUUUUGUUGGGAAAGAAAAGCAGCAGGUUAAUACCCCGCUGUUCUGACGGUACCCAAAGAAUAAGCACCGGCUAACUUCGUG
rnacentral:rRNA from 1 species